CCAAUCUCAGACAAUAUUAGUAAAAUAUUUCAAUAAGUAUUUAUACAUAUAUUAAAUGCUUUCGUAAUACAAAUUGUCAUUAAACGAUAUAUUAUAUAUUAACUUUGGAUAAUAGUUAUUUUAAAAAAGGCAACUUUUUAUAAAUACUACUAUAACCUCUCUUAAUCAGUUGUUUUUUUAUAUUGUUGUUUGUAGUAAGACGCUUCUUCUGCGUCUAGUGUCUAUAUGAUAAAGCAUUACUUAUAAAACUAUAAACACAGAUUACAGUUUAUAUGUCCAACAUGGCUCACAUCACUUUCUCAUAUGCGUUUCUGGUUUCUACUAACAAACUGGGGUUGAUCUGAGUUUCUGGUUUCUACUAACAAACUGAAGUUGAUCUGAGUUUCUGGUUUACUCCCGCUCUAUAAGUAUGUUUCAUAACUAGUUGAAACAUCGUACGCUCACAACAAAUACUCAAUAAAUAUAUUUCGUAACAAUAUAAGGCGUCACACCCACGCUAUAAAUGUGUUCCGUGAGGAUGUGAAACAUCAAACUCC